CGGGAAACUGGGGAUAAUACCCUAUAGACUAUGGAUGCUGGAAUGCUCGAUAGCCGAAAGGUCCGCCGCUGUAGGAUGGGUCUGCGGCCGAUUAGGUUGUUGUUGGGGUAACGGCCCAACAAGCCUGUAAUCGGUACGGGUUGUGGGAGCAAGAGCCCGGAGAUGGAUUCUGAGACACGAAUCCAGGCCCUACGGGGCGCAGCAGGCGCGAAAACUUUACAAUGCGGGAAACCGUGAUAAGGGAACCCCGAGUGCCCGUAGAAUCGGGCUGUUGAUCUGUGUAAGAAGCAGGUAAAGAAAGGGCCGGGCAAGACCGGUGACAGCCGCCGCGGUAACA
rnacentral:rRNA from 1 species